rnacentral:piRNA from 1 species
UGGUACCUGUGUGCGUCAGGGAUGCUCUGC